rnacentral:rRNA from 1 species
GACGUAGGGCGCGAGCGUUGUCCGGAUUUAUUGGGCGUAAAGAGCUCGUAGGCGGCUUGUCGCGUCGUCCGUGAAAACCUGCAGCUCAACUGCAGGCUUGCGGUCGAUACGGGCAGGCUGGAGUUCGGUAGGGGAGACUGGAAUUCCUGGUGUAGCGGUGAAAUGCGCAGAUAUCAGGAGGAACACCGGUGGCGAAGGCGGUUCUCUGGGACGGUACUGACGCUGAGACGCGAAAGCGUGGGGAGCGAACAGG